GUACGUUAAUAGCGUAUUCGUUUGACGUUAGCGACAGAAGAAGCACCGGCUAACUCCGUGCCAGCAGCCGCGGUAAUACGGAGGGUGCGAGCGUUAAUCGGAAUUACUGGGCGUAAAGCGCAUGCAGGUGGUUUGUUAAGUCAGAUGUGAAAGCCCGGGGCUCAACCUCGGAAUUGCAUUUGAAACUGGCAGACUAGAGUACUGUAGAGGGGGGUAGAAUUUCAGGUGUAGCGGUGAAAUGCGUAGAGAUCUGAAGGAAUACCGGUGGCGAAGGCGGCCCCCUGGACAGAUACUGACACUCAGAUGCGAAAGCGUGGGGAGCAAACAGGAUUAGAUACCCUGGUAGUCCACGCCGUAAACGAUGUCUACUUGGAGGUUGUGGCCUUGAGCCGUGGCUUUCGGAGCUAACGCGUUAAGUAGACCGCCUGGGGAGUACGGUCGCAAGAUUAAAACUCAAAUGAAUUGACGGGGGCCCGCACAAGCGGUGGAGCAUGUGGUUUAAUUCGAUGCAACGCGAAGAACCUUACCUACUCUUGACAUCCAGAGAACUUUCCAGAGAUGGAUUGGUGCCUUCGGGAACUCUGAGACAGGUGCUGCAUGGCUGUCGUCAGCUCGUGUUGUGAAAUGUUGGGUUAAGUCCCGCAACGAGCGCAACCCUUAUCCUUGUUUGCCAGCGAGUAAUGUCGGGAACUCCAGGGAGACUGCCGGUGAUAAACCGGAGGAAGGUGGGGACGACGUCAAGUCAUCAUGGCCCUUACGAGUAGGGCUACACACGUGCUACAAUGGCGCAUACAGAGGGC
rnacentral:rRNA from 1 species